rnacentral:rRNA from 1 species
UACGGGGGGGGCAAGCGUUGUUCGGAAUUACUGGGCGUAAAGGGCUCGUAGGCGGCCAACUAAGUCGGACGUGAAAUCCCUCGGCUUAACCGGGGAACUGCGUCCGAUACUGGAUGGCUUGAGGUUGGGAGAGGGAUGCGGAAUUCCAGGUGUAGCGGUGAAAUGCGUAGAUAUCGUAAGGAAGACCAGUGGCGAAGGCGGGUCUCUGGACAGUUCCGUGACGCUGAGGCACGAAGGUCAGGGGAGCAAACGGG